rnacentral:tRNA from 1 species
ACCAGACUGGCUCAGUCGGUAGAGCAGGAGACUCUUGAUCUCAAGGUAAUGAGUUCAAGCCCCAUGUUGGGCC